CUACGGGAUGCACCAGUGGGGAAUUUUGGACAAUGGGCGCAAGCCUGAUCCAGCCAUGCCGCGUGAGUGAAGAAGGCCUUCGGGUUGUAAAGCUCUUUCGGUGAAGACGAAACGGUUAGCGUUAAUAGCGCUGACUAAUGACGGUACUCACAGAAGAAGCACCGGCUAACUACGUGCCAGCAGCCGCGGUAAUACGUAGGGUGCAGGCGUUAAUCGGAAUUACUGGGCGUAAAGCGUGCGCAGGCGGUUUGCUAAGACAGGUGUGAAAUCCCCGGGCUUAACCUGGGAAUUGCGCUUGUAACUGGCAGGCUAGAGUGUGGCAGAGGGGGGUGGAAUUCCACGUGUAGCAGUGAAAUGCGUAGAUAUGUGGAGGAACACCGAUGGCGAAGGCAGCCCCCUGGGUUAACACUGACGCUCAGGCACGAAAGCGUGGGGAGCAAACAGGAUUAGAUACCCUAGUAGUC
rnacentral:rRNA from 1 species